GGGAAACUGCCUGGUGGAGGGGGAUAACUACUGGAAACGGUAGCUAAUACCGCAUAACGUCUUCGGACCAAAGUGGGGGACCUUCGGGCCUCAUGCCAUCAGAUGUGCCCAGAUGGGAUUAGCUAGUAGGUGGGGUAACGGCUCACCUAGGCGACGAUCCCUAGCUGGUCUGAGAGGAUGACCAGCCACACUGGAACUGAGACACGGUCCAGACUCCUACGGGAGGCAGCAGUGGGGAAUAUUGCACAAUGGGCGCAAGCCUGAUGCAGCCAUGCCGCGUGUAUGAAGAAGGCCUUCGGGUUGUAAAGUACUUUCAGCGAGGAGGAAGGCGUUAAGGUUAAUAACCUUAGCGAUUGACGUUACUCGCAGAAGAAGCACCGGCUAACUCCGUGCCAGCAGCCGCGGUAAUACGGAGGGUGCAAGCGUUAAUCGGAAUUACUGGGCGUAAAGCGCACGCAGGCGGUCUGUCAAGUCGGAUGUGAAAUCCCCGGGCUCAACCUGGGAACUGCAUUCGAAACUGACAGGCUAGAGUCUUGUAGAGGGGGGUAGAAUUCCAGGU
rnacentral:rRNA from 1 species